rnacentral:rRNA from 1 species
UAACACAUGCAAGUCGAGGGGCAGCAUGGUCUUAGCUUGCUAAGGCCGAUGGCGACCGGCGCACGGGUGAGUAACGCGUAUCCAACCUGCCUUACACUCUUGGACAGCCUUCUGAAAGGGAGAUUAAUACAAGAUGUUAUCAUGAGUAAGCAUUUUCGCAUGAUUAAAGGUUUACCGGUGUAAGAUGGGGAUGCGUUCCAUUAGAUAGGAGGCGGGGUAACGGCCCACCUAAUCUUCGAUGGAUAGGGGUUCUGAAAGGAAGGUCCCCCACAUUGGAACUGAGACACGGUCCAAACUCCUACGGGAGGCAGCAGUGAGGAAUAUUGGUCAAUGGACGAGAGUCUGAACCAGCCAAGUAGCGUGAAGGAUGAAGGUUCUAUGGAUUGUAAACUUCUUUUAUACAGGAAUAAACGAAUCCACGCGUGGAUUUUUGCAUGUACCGUAUGAAUAAGGAUCGGCUAACUCCGUGCCAGCAGCCGCGGUAAUACGGAGGAUCCGAGCGUUAUCCGGAUUUAUUGGGUUUAAAGGGAGCGUAGAUGGCUUGUUAAGUCAGUUGUGAAAGUUUGCGGCUCAACCGAAAAAUUGCAAUUGAUACUGGCAGUCCUGAGUACAGUUGAGGUAGGCGGAAUUCGUGGUGUAGCGGUGAAAUGCUUAGAUAUCACGAAGAACUCCGAUUGCGAAGGCAGCUUACUAACCUGUAACUGACAUUGAUGCUCGAAAGUGUGGGUAUCAAACAGGAUUAGAUACCCUGGUAGUCCACACGGUAAACGAUGAAUACUCGCUGUAGGCGAUAUACAGUCUGCGGCCAAGCGAAAGCAUUAAGUAUUCCACCUGGGGAGUACGCCGGCAACGGUGAAACUCAAAGGAAUUGACGGGGGCCCGCACAAGCGGAGGGACAUGUGGUUUAAUUCGAUGAUACGCGAGGAACCUUACCCGGGCUUAAAUUGCAACCGAAUAUGGCGGAAACGCUAUAGCUAGCAAUAGCGGUUGUGAAGGUGCUGCAUGGUUGUCGUCAGCUCGUGCCGUGAGGUGUCGGCUUAAGUGCCAUAACGAGCGCAACCCUUGCCGAUAGUUACUAACAGGUCAUGCUGAGGACUCUGUCGGGACUGCCAUCGUAAGAUGUGAGGAAGGUGGGGAUGACGUCAAAUCAGCACGGCCCUUACGUCCGGGGCUACACACGUGUUACAAUGGGGGGUACAGAGGGCUGCUACCACGCAAGUGGAUGCCAAUCCCAAAAACCUCUCUCAGUUCGGAUUGAAGUCUGCAACCCGACUUCAUGAAGCUGGAUUCGCUAGUAAUCGCGCAUCAGCCACGGCGCGGUGAAUACGUUCCCGGGCCUUGUACACACCGCCCGUCAAGCCAUGGGAGCCGGGGGUACCUGAAGUGCGUAACCGCAAGGAGCGCCCUAGGGUAAAACUGGUGACUGGGGCUAAGUCG